CACCUUUAGAAUUAACAGAGCAGGAAAGCGAGCGUACAGUAAGAGCGCUGAAAGUGAACGGAGACGGUCAUUCGCGACAGCCAAUCAGAUCUCGAGACUGCGACACGGAGGCCCCGCUACGAGGUCACACGCUGAACGUGGCACGUACGCGUCCUGUGAUUGGAUAAGCACCGAAAGGCGGCUCUUUGCAAAGUGUAGCAUCCGUUACCUGGACAUCCGUUAGCUACUAUCAGUUACCGUAGUAUUUUUAGCCCAAGUUGGCUGAAAGAGGAGACGGGAAAUUGUUGCAGACAAACGUUACACGCCAUUUUCAACACGGACCUUUCCCAAAAAGCUGGACCCUGUGAGGAGUGGCCGACCAACCGCUACGCUGGGUAACCUGUCCCAGCAGGGAGAAGGGUUGUCCGCCAUUUUCAGACCAGCAGCUAUGUACAGAAUCAGUGGCUCAUACCUUCUGAGAACCGUUGGUGAUUUGGUGGUUGGAGCUACACUAGGUUUACCAACGUAGGUUGUUUCACCGUGGCAGCAACGACACACCAAAGCACGGCCGGGUUCCGACGAGCCACGGUGCGUUUAAAGACUACCGGACAGACGGCAUUAGCAUCCUUAUUGCUGGAUCCGAAAGCACAAUAAGCCUUCUACAGAAAAGGAGAAGCUCUGUGUUGCCCGGCCUAUCUCUGGGCCCUCUCGCCCUCCCCUUCCGUUAUCAAACGCUUUGUGAUCCGGGCGCAGCCAGGGAGCCUCCUCACGCCAGCAUGCUGUGAUGUGAGCCGCCAAGGACGCACUCGUUGGAGGCCGGAUCAAUAGGCGAGGAUUCCGCACACAAAGCUGAGCAGAGACGCAUUCUUCACCCGGCUCUAUUGGGUUACAUGGUGAGAUUCGGGAGGCGGUCGCCCGAAGGGGCGUCGUCCCCGCGCCGUCUCCGGCCGCGGCCGGCUCGCGAACCCGCGCAGGGGAGAACUUGGAUCGGUCGACGGGCAGAACGAGGCACGCGGGGACGGAAAGGGAGGGAGAGCGAGCGAGGAAGUGGGCGAACGAGAGAUACCAUCGACUGUUGCUUCCAACCAGCAGAUAAGUGUGGCCUAACAUUCAUUAGGUCUUCAACUCAAUUAAACCAAAAUAAUUUCUUAUCUUUCUUCCCUCGGUAAACUGUCAGCAUAUCAAAAGGCCGGACCCCCGUAGCUGCGGGCGCGAUGGAGGAAAAACAACACAAAAGCACAAGAUAUGCAAGAGCGCCCAGUAAACAAGCCGCUCGGCUCCAUACGUAUCGCAUAGGCCGCAGUCGCCUUAAAGAAGCAGCCCCACGCUGAUUACAAAGCAAGAGUGAAAUUUCAAUAGAUGAGAAUAAAUGUAGUGGCACUAAAUCA
rnacentral:lncRNA from 1 species